ensembl:lncRNA
UUUGUUCUUGAAUUAGUUUUAUUAAUGAUCCAUUUUUCGUAAGAACUUGGUACAAAAAGUGAGACUAAUCUUUAAUCAGCUGUUUCUUGCAUCAUAAAGAAGAGAAACUACAUUGGCAUAUUCAGACAAACACUUCCUAUACACACUAUCCACUGGACAGCUCCAACCAGAGACACUUCUAGACAUUUCCUCUAAACACGGCCGUCGCGUCGUCGCCUCUGUGGCAAAAACAAAACGUCGAACGCUGCGAGCUAAAGUCAGAAUGCAGAAAGGAAUAGAAAACCCAGACGUCCAUAAAAGAAUAUAAAAUGUUCUUUUUGUUCAAAUGUCGUGUCGUGUAUUAAAAUAGAUCUGUUUAAGCACUGCACAGUUUCUCCCGGAGAAGAGUUCUAGAAACGAUGAGGAGGUUGGGAGAUAUGAUCUUCAUGGAUAUGCUUCAGUCAUGGCACAUUCAGACCACCGGGACGAGAGAAGGCAGCCGGAGGUCCAGAGUCUGGAAGGUUUUUAACAAAUAAACCAACAGAACGGCGUCACAGUGUCCGGCUCUAACAGGAAAUACGCAACCUUUCACUAGAAACCCCUUUAAUGUGGAGAAAAAACACGAAAAAGACUCAAAGUUUCUCCAAAAUGCCCCAUAAAACAUUUAGUCUGAAAGUGAGCCCAGGUUCUCCCUAAAAGACUCAAAGUUUUUUUAAGUGACUCAAAAACCAAAAUGACUAAAAACUGUUUUGAAAUGAACAAAAAAUGGUCCAAAAAUAACUAAAACUUUGCACAAUAUUACAAAAAUGGUACAAAACUGACUCCAAAUAGAACUAGAAUGGUCCAGAAACAUUUGUUCAAAAUAAUGAAAACUUUUUUUUGACAUUUUUGACUCAAAAAUCUGCCAAACGAUGACUAAAAUUUGGUUUAAAAAUUACUAAAAAUUUGUCUAAAAUAAUUAAAUCUGUCAAAUCAAAUCUUUUUCCCAGAAAUGAUCCAAAAUUUCUCCAAAGUAACUAAAAAUUUGGUGGAAAAAAAAAAUUAAAAAUUCAUCCAAAAAUUCUGACAACAAAUCCUCAAAAACACAAAAACAUCAGUCAAAGCUUCAAACGUUGAACCUUCCAGUUAAGGAAGCAGUUUAUUGUGUUUAAUCUGAAUCAUUUCCAGGUGAAUCAGUGGAAUGAAGACAUGAAGAAGCUUCUUAUGUUUCUGUGGAACCUUCAGCUCUUCCAGACUCUGAACCUGAACAGCAGAUGAAUGGUUAUUGUGCAUUUUAAUGAUGGAGGUGAUGAAGUCUGGAGGUUUGUGCAGCUUUAACAGGAACCGUGAAGGUUCUGGAUGUUUUUCUUCUUUCAUGUUUUCAGCCUGAAGAUCGACUGAUGGAUCUUUUCUCUGCAGUUUUACAGAAACCAGAUGUUUUAAACCAAACAUCUGUCAGCUGUUGGGUUUACUGCUGGACUAAAGACGCACAAACUUCAGGAGCUUCAGUUUGUAGCAGCAGAGCUGACUUUUCAGACAAACACCUGAACGCAUCGCGAGUCUAUGAAUGCGUCUCAAGUCUUUGAACGCGACAGGAGUCUCUGAAUGCAUCGUGAGUCUUAGAACGUAUCACAAGUCUCUGAACGCAUCGCAAGUGUUUGAACGCGACACGAGUCUUUGAACAUGUCGCAAGUCUUUGAAUGCAUCGCAAGUGUUUGAACGUGUCACGAGUCUUUGAACGUGUCGCGAGUCUUUGAACGCAUCGCAAGUGUUUCAACGCGUCACGAGUCUUUGAACGUGUCGCGAGUCUUUGAAUGCAUCGCAAGUGUUUGAACGUGUCACGAGUCUUUGAACGUGUCGCGAGUCUUUGAACGCAUCGCAAGUGUUUGAACGCGUCACGAGUCUUUGAACGCAUUGUGAGUCUUUGAACACACCGCAAGUGUUUGAACGCAUCGUGAGUCUUUGAACGCAUCGCGAGUCUUUGAACGCAUCGUGAGUCUUUGAACGCAUCGUGAGUCUUUGAAUGCAUCGUGAAUCUUUGAACGUGUCCUGAAUCUUUGAAUAUGUUGCGAGUCUUUGAACGCGUCAAUUGACUCCUGUCUUUUAGAAGCCUUUUGUUGGUUCUUGUUGGUGUUUGUUGGUUCUUGUUGGUGUUUCUUGGUUUUUGUUAAUUCUUGUUGGUGUUUGUUGGUUCUUGUUGGUUCUUGUUGGUGUUGGUUCUUGCUGGUUCUUGUUGGUGUUUGUUGGUUUUUGUUAGUUGUUGUUGGUGUUAGUUCUUGUUGGUGUUUGUUGGUUCUUGUUGGUUCUUGUUGGUGUUUGCCUGAAAGCCGGAGCUGCUUCUGAUAUGGUUCUAAAUCAAAUGUUUGGUUCUAAAUCAAAUGUUUGAUUCUAAAUCAAAUUUUUUCUUCUUGAAGGCAUCUUUCCACGGUUUGUUCGUGUUUGUGCAUCAGCAGGUAGCAGAGCUGCACCUGGCCAAUAGGUGAGGACAGGAUGAGUCAGACAGGAAGUGAGACGUCUCCGACCAGCAGGAAGACGAGCGAGACGGACGGACCGACGGAACUGAGCGGUCCCCCGACAGUCGGAGUGUUGUAGUUCCACAGAGGCGUCGCAUUUCUGUCCUGAAACGACGCAACAAAGACAAACGUGACGAGACGAUGAGUUGAGGCAGUGUUCGUCACAGCAGUUAGAAAGUGGAUAAAAAAACAGGAGGUGGAGUCCAGCAGAAAAACUAAGAGGUUUUUGGCAUAUUUUCUGUUCUGGUUAAAGGGAGGACCACGCUGGGCCUCAGAGCUUCUCUGCUGCAGGAACCUGAAACCUGGAGCUCCUCAUCGAUAUGUUUGAUCACAGCUCAGAGAAUCACAAACAUCCAGGAGUUUCUACCAUUAAACCAAGGCUGGUGAACACGAGGCCUGAGGGCCAAAACCGGCCCUCCGGUGGUCCGAAACUGGCCCUCCAAGGGUCUGAAACCGGCCCUUCAGAGGCCGUUUUGUUUCUUGUUUUUGCCAGUUUUGUGUUUAGUUUUUGUCCAUUGUUUUGUUGCUCUGUACCUUUUUUGUCUAAUUUUUUUUGUUUUGUUUUGUGUCGUUUUGUUUCUAGUUAUUGUUGUUUUGUCUCAUUUUUGU